UGGUUAGAAACAGGCCGUCUGUCAAACCAAAGAUCAUGUUUGAGUUGUUUUUGGGGAAGAGAAACAUCAAAUAACCCUUUAAUAAAAUAUUGUUUGAUAUUUAUGUUGUUACAGAUUUUCUCUCUGUGGACUCUCAAAGACUCACUGUGAAGUUGUGGCCUCAGCUCUGAAGUCCAACCCCUCCCAUCUGAGACAUCUGGACCUGAGUAACAACGAGCUGAAGGAUUCAGGAGUGAAGCUUCUCUCUGCAGGACUGGAGAGUCCAAACUGCAGACUGGAGACUCUGAUGUGAGACACCAUUUCCUUCUGAUCUAACAAUAAGAUGUGACAGCUGCUGCCUUAGAUUUUUCUCUGUGGUUUUUCCAUCAACUUUGGUCGAGCAGUUUGAAUUUGUCGUUGUAAAACUUCGACACAGGAAGAAAAAUCUGACAUUUCAGAGUUGACUUUGAGGAGAACGAUGGAUGUAGAAAGGAAGCAGGAGAAAAUCAGUCCCACAAAUAUUACACAUGCUUGUAGAGGGCAGGAGCAGCACAGACUAAAGGCUGAUACUGAACUGAUCCACAGUUAAUGUGAUCACCAAUGAAUGAAUGAAGUGUCAGAGAAAUGAUGAGCUGCAGAUUGAAACCUGAAGAACAAAGUUAAUCCAACUCUGGAUAUUUCAUUUGGAAACUCUUGAAAACUUGAAUUUCUUCUUUGCUCAGUCGUGUUCAAAUGUAAAAACCAGAUCCAGAUUUGUCUGCAGUUUUCACUUCAGUUUGUUGAACAUGAACAUCAUCUUGUCCAGCUGGUCCAUAAAAACCUCUCUGAUCAAUGAUCUGUUGGUUUAUUUAAGAGUAGUUUGGCAGUUGUUGACAGCAGACGGACAGACCCCUGAAUAAACUCCUGACUGUUUUCAUCUUCAUGAAGAAUUCAGGACUACAAAAGAACCUUUGAGAUUUCUCACAGGAGUUUCUCAGGAUCUCACUAAAGUUUUCUGUUUCUGUAAAAUUUUCUUGACUGAUAAAUUCCUCUGGAUCUUCAAAAAGUUUAGAGAAGAUUUUACAAAGUUCCUGAAGAUCAACUCUGAAAAAGUUCUUCUUCCGUGUCCUUCAGGGUUCAAGAACAUUGAAUCAUUAAAAACAGGAACAGUUUCUUCAGAGGUUACAUGAUUUUUUUCUUUUUUCAGACUGUGACAGGUGUUUAUUAGUCUUUUUGACACGUUACAAUAAUGAGGAUAAAGUCAUGGACUAAACUUGGGCUCCCAGUUUCCUUGUUGUUGUUUCUUCAGCUAGCAUCAUUGUUUUCAUCACAGUUCUUAAAGUAAUAAUGAUGCUUCAUAAAUUCAGAGUCACAAAAAAACACCAAACAAACCAAAUCUGAAAAAAAUCCACUUUUUCAUCAAAUGAGUUUAAUCGGUCAGAACAUGAGGUUUGAGUUUUCAUGAGGAGGAAACGAGAAAGAUCUGCUCUGACAGUGAGAAACACAGACGCCUGAAUCUACACUGACAGACACACAAAUACAGACAGAGAGACACAGACAGAGAGACACAGACACAGACACACAAAUACAGACACACAGAGACACAGACACACAAACAGACUAACAGAGAUUUUCUUCUUCGUCUCUUUGCUGUGAUGACUGAAGUCACAAAAACAAAGUUUUCUUCGUCACUUUUAUGAUUGAACCAAAUAAGUUAAAGAACCAAACUCUCAGAUUUUCUUCUUCUCAAUAUUAUUUGAACCAUUUAGAUUUUUCUCCUGAUCAAUAUUCAAUGAUCAGAUUGAUCAGGUUCCUGUUUUGGCUCCACUGCCUCUUUUCUGCAGCUCAAUAACUGCUCAUAUGGUUUGAAAGGUUCCUGCAGUAAAACCCGAUUAGAGAGUGGACUAAAUGAAAUGUGAGUGAACUCAGCCAUCAGUGAAUCAAUGACAAAGUGAGAGGAAGAGUGGAUCUGUCUGCUGUCUGACCUUGUUGAUCCUGAUGAAGGUGAGGGAGAAGAGUAAAGCAGUAAAGGUGAUGUUGUUGCAGACAGAGUCAGCUGACCUGUCUCAUCAGAGUCUCAUCCAUUCUCUGUUUGGCAGAGCGCUGAUGUUACAGUCUGAGAGCACAUUCAGGUUCAGCUUCACAUGGGCUGGAUCUGCUCAAUACAAACUCUUGAGACCAGCCUGGUUGAGGGAGGUGGGCUCAGUGUCCUGGGUGACUCUCUCUGAGCUCUUCUUGGUUGAGAGUAUUUCUGGUUUGUCUCUGACUUCCAUGAACUCAGAUCUGGAGGAUUGCUGGCUGGUCCGGUCCAGUUCUGACAGUAGAGACAACACAGUCUGUUAUUCUGGGUUGAGUGUUCUUGUUGAAGAUCAGUGUACAGUGAGGGAUGAAGGCAGACAAAGAUCCUCCUGUUUCCUCCAUGUCACAGUUCAAGUUCAUUUUGAAGACUUUGAUUGAUACGAGCGCUGAAGAGGAACAGGAAACGUGGAGUAGAGAGUGAGGGAGGACUUACAGCAAAGGAUCAUGGGAGUCCAACCAGCAACUGCUGCAACAAGGACUCCACCUUCUGAUCAUCUGAACCUCUAAUCCAAACCAGUGCUCCAUCACAUUUGAUGUCUUGUCUGUUAUUUUACAUGGAGGGUCAGAGCAGACCAGAUCAUGAGCUCUGACAGACUGGAUCUGGUCCAAAGGUCUCCUGUUGGAGUUCUCUAAGCUCCAUAUUUUAAUCCUGAACACCUGAAGUUUGAUUAUUAAUUAUUUUUAUCUUCAUUCUCUUUCCUUUUUUCAGAUUGUAUAAAUGCAGUUUGUCAGAGAUCAGCUGUUCUUCUCUGGCCUCAGCUCUGAAGUCCAACCCCUCCCAUCUGAGAUAUCUGGACCUGAGUUACAACAAUCUGCAGGAUUCAGGAAUGAAGCUGCUGUGUGACUCUCUGCAGAGUCCAAACUGUAAACUGGAGACUCUGAGGUGAGACACCAUUUCCUUCUGAUCUAACAAUAAGAUGUGACAGCUGCUGCCUUAGAUUUUUCUCUGUGGUUUUUCCAUCAACUUUGGUCGAGCAGUUUGAAUUUGUCGUUGUAAAACUUCAACACAGGAAGAAAAAUCCGACAUUUCAGAGUCGACUUUGAGGAGAACGAUGGAUGUAGAAAGGAAGCAGGAGAAAAUCAGUCCACAAAUAUUACACAUGCUUGUAGAGGGCAGGAGCAGCACAGACUAAAGGCUGAUACUGAACUGAUCCACAGUUAAUGUGAUCACUAAUGAAUGAAUGAAGUGUCAGAGAAAUGAUGAGCUGCAGAUUGAAACCUGAAGAACAAAGUUAAUCCAACUCUGGAUAUUUCAUUUGGAAACUCUUGAAAACUUGAAUUUCUUCUUUGCUCAGUCGUGUUCAAAUGUAAAAACCAGAUCCAGAUUUUUCUGCAGUUUUCACUUCAGUUUGUUGAACAUGAACAUCAUCUUGUCCAGUUGGUCCAUAAAAACCUCUCUGAUCAAUGAUCUGUUGGUUUAUUUAAGAGUAGUUUGGCAGUUGUUGACAGCAGACGGACAGACCCCCUGAAUAAACUCCUGACUAUUUUCAUCUUCAUGAAGAAUUCAGGACUACAAAAAAACCUUUGAGAUUUCUCACAGGAGUUUCUCAGGAUCUCACUAAAGUUUUCUGUUUCUGUAAAAUUUUCUUGACUGAUAAAUUCCUCUGGAUCUUCAAAAAGUUUAGAGAGGAUUUUACAAAGUUCCUGAAGAUCAACUCUGAAAAAGUUCUUCUUCCGUGUUCCUUCAGGGUUCAAGAACAUUGAAUCAUUAAAAACAGGAACAGUUUCUUCAGAGGUUACAUGAUUUUUUUCUUUUUUCAGACUGUGACAGGUGUUUAUUAGUCUUUUUGACACGUUACAAUAAUGAGGAUAAAGUCAUGGACUAAACUUGGGCUCCCAGUUUCCUUGUUGUUGUUUCUUCAGCUAGCAUCAUUGUUUUCAUCUCAGUUAUUAAAGUAAUAAUGAUGCUUCAUAAAUUCAGAGUCACAAAAAAACACCAAACAAACCAAAUCUGAAAAAAAUCCACUUUUUCAUCAAAUGAGUUUAAUCGGUCAGAACAUGAGGUUUGAGUUUUCAUGAGGAGGAAACGAGAAAGAUCUGCUCUGACAGUGAGAAACACAGACGCCUGAAUCUACACUGACAGACACACAAAUACAGACAGAGAGACACAGACAGAGAGACACAGACACAGACACAGACACACAAAUACAGACACACAGAGAGACAGACACACAAACACAGACUAACAGAGAUGUUCCUCUCUGUCUCUUUGCUGUGAUGACUGAAGUCACAAAAACAAAGUUUUCUUCGUCACGUUUAUGAUUGAACCAAAUAAGUUAAAGAACCAAACUCUCAGAUUUUCUUCUUCUCAAUAUUAUUUGAACCAUUUUGAUUUUUCUCCUGAUCAAUAUUCAAUGAUCAGAUUGAUUAGGUUCCUGUUUUGGCUCCACUGCCUCUUUUCUGCAGCUCAAUAACUGCUCAUAUGGUUUGAAAGGUUCCUGCAGUAAAACCCGAUUAGAGAGUGGACUAAAUGAAAUGUGAGUGAACUCAGCCAUCAGUGAAUCAAUGACAAAGUGAGAGGAAGAGUGGAUCUGUCUGCUGUCUGACCUUGUUGAGCCUGAUGAAGGUGAGGGAGAAGAGUAAAGCAGUAAAGGUGAUGUUGUUGCAGACAGAGUCAGCUGACCUGUCUCAUCAGAGUCUCAUCCAUUCUCUGUUUGGCAGAGCACUGAUGUUACAGUCUGAGAGCACAUUCAGGUUCAGCUUCACAUGGGCUGGAUCUGCUCAAUACAAACUCUUGAGACCAGCCUGGUUGAGGGAGGUGGGCUCAGUGUCCUGGGUGACUCUCUCUGAGCUCUUCUUGGUUGAGAGUAUUUCUGGUUUGUCUCUGACUUCCAUGAACUCAGAUCUGGAGGAUUGCUGGCUGGUCCGGUCCAGUUCUGACAGUAGAGACAACACAGUCAGUUAUUCUGGGUUGAGUGUUCUUGUUGAAGAUCAGUGUACAGUGAGGGAUGAAGGCAGACAAAGAUCCUCCUGUUUCCUCCAUGUCACAGUUCAAGUUCAUUUUGAAGACUUUGAUUGAUCCGAGCGCUGAAGAGGAACAGGAAACGUGGAGUAGAGAGUGAGGGAGGACUUACAGCAAAGGAUCAUGGGAGUCCAACCAGCAACUGCUGCAACAACGACUCCACCUUCUGAUCAUCUGAACCUCUAAUCCAAACCAGUGCUCCAUCACAUUUGAUGUCUUGUCUGUUAUUUUACAUGGAGGGUCAGAGCAGACCAGAUCAUGAGCUCUGACAGACUGGAUCUGGUCCAAAGGUCUCCUGUUGGAGUUCUCUAAGCUCCAUAUUUUAAACCUGAACACCUGAAGUUUGAUUAUUAAUUAUUUUUAUCUUCAUUCUCUUUCCUUUUUUCAGAUUGUAUAAAUGCAGUUUGUCAGAGAUCAGCUGUUCUUCUCUGGCCUCAGCUCUGAAGUCCAACCCCUCCCAUCUGAAACAUCUGGACCUGAGUUACAACAAGCUGCAGGAUUCAGGAGUGAAGCUUCUGUGUGAAUUUGUGCAGAGUCCAAACUGUAAACUGGAGACUCUGAAGUGAGACUUUUUCCCUCCAUUCAAACAUGAUCAUGAUUUGUUUGUGAUGAUGACACUAAACUGCUGACUCAGGACUGAAAUACUGACCCAGACUGAACACCUUCAGUCCAGAGUAGAUUUUCUUCAUCAGUGGAUUAUUUGAUUGACUCCAGUUAGAUCACUGCUGAGCUCCAGUGAAUUAAAACCUGAACCCAAGAAGAAAACUCUUUGUAGAGUUCACAGUGAGAAGCUCAUUCAGACAGAAAACAGAAGCAGGGGGAGAUUUGUCAGAUGAGAACCAUUCAAACUUUUGUUCAGGACAAGAUCAGGGAAUAGAAAAAACUCAGAGUUUAGUUUCUGACACUGAUGAAAGUCCAGCUCUGUUACUUUGAAUUUUGUUUUUGAAUCUUUGUGUGAAAAUCUGAAUUUUCUGGUUUAUCUGCACUUUUCUGAAGCCUUACUGUGUUUAGACUGAAAUAUUUACCUCUCAAAGACGUGAAAUUUUUGGUUCAGCAAAGUGAAAAUAUUCUGAACAUCCUUUGUUUCCCAUCCGUCCUGAAGUCACUGACAUUUUCUGAAAAUAUUGAGCUGCAUCUACAAUCAGUAAAAAAGUCUCUGAGUUUUUUAUUUCACUAUUUAAUGUGUUUUUGAAUUCACUGUUUCAAACUGACUUCCUGUUUGGUUCAGCUCUUUGGAGCGUCACUUUUCUCUGAUUUAUACUUUCCAAACCUUUCCCCUGAACUCUACAGAUUUAAGACAUCAGGUUUCAAACUGGAUCAUUUUUCUCUAAAAUCUCAUUAUUUCCUCUUUAUUUAGGUUAAUGAGCUGCAGUUUGACGAAGAUCAGCUGUUCUUCUCUGGCCUCAGCUCUGAAGUCCAACCCCUCCCAUCUGAAAACUCUGUGGCUGUAUGGAAACAAUCUGCAGGGUUCAGACAUGAAGCUGCUGUGUGAUCUUCAGAAGAGUCCUGACUACAGACUGAGGACUCUGAAGUCAGUAUAGAGUUGGAGUUAGUCUGUGCUGAUCUCUCCUGUUCCUCUCCACACAGUAUCACAGCAGAUAUUCAGUAUUUCCUGCUGACUCUUCGACCCUCUCAGAGGAUUAUCUCUUUAGUGAAGCUGUGAGAACAGAAAUCAUCAAACCAGGAGUGUAAGAGUG
rnacentral:lncRNA from 1 species